rnacentral:lncRNA from 1 species
GACAAAAUUUGGGAUGAAUUUCCGCUUAAACGGCGCAGAACAUGCCUUUCCGUCACCGACCGGGAUGGAGGAGGGACGGCCCCGGCCCCUCGGUGGGUUUGGGGCUCUUUCGGGGGAUUUUGGGAGCGGUUGGGGAUGGGAAUCACCUAAAUGUUGGGAAAAUGUCCCUUGAGGGAUGCUCCGUGCAAGGAGAGGGGUGUCAAUGUCAUCCCAACGUCAUCCCAACGUCAAUGUCAUCCCAACGUCAAGUCAACAUCUACCCAAUGUUAUCGCAACAUCAACUCAACGUCAGCCCAACGUCAACCCAACAUCAACCCGAUGUCAACUCAAUGUCUACCCAAUGUUAUCCCAACGUCAACUCAACGUCAGCCCAAUGUUAACUCAACGUCAGCCCAACGUCAACUCAAUGUCAGCCCAACAUCACCCCAAUGUCAUCCCAAUGUCAACUCAACAUCUACCCAAUGUUAUCCCAACAUCAACUCAACGUCAGCCCAACGUCAACUCAAUGUCAGCCCAACGUCAACCCAAAGUCAACUCAACAUCAGCCCAAUGUCAACCCAUUGUCAUCCCAACAUCAACUCAACAUCUACCCAAUGUUAUCCCAACAUCAACUCAGUGUCAGUCCAACAUCAACUCAAUGUCUACCCAAUGUUAUCCCAACAUCAACUCAACGUCAGCCCAACGUCAACCCAAUGUUAUCCCAACAUCAACUCAACGUCAGCCCAACGUCAACUCAACAUCAGCCCAACAUCAACCCAACGUCAACUCAACGUCUACCCAAUGUUAUCCCAACGUCAACUCAACGUCAGCCCAACGUCAACUCAAUGUCAGCCCAAUGUCAACCCAAUGUCAUCCCAACGUCAACUCAACAUCUACCCAAUGUUAUCCCAACAUCAUCCCAAUGUCAGCCCAAUGUCAACCCAACGUCAAUGUCAACCCAACGUCAACGUCAGCCCAACGUCAGCCCAAUGUCAACUCAACGUCAGCAUCAACUCAACGUCAGCCCAACAUCAUUCCAACAUCAACUGAACGUCAGGCCAACGUCAACUCAACGUCAACUCAACAUCAGCCCAACGUCUACCCAAUGUUAUCCCAACAUCAACACAACGUCAGCCCAACAUCAACCCAAUGUCAACUCAAUGUCAGCCCAACGUCAACUCAAUGUCAUCCCAACGUCAACUCAACAUCUACCCAAUGUUAUCCCAACAUCAACUCAACGUCAGCCCAACAUCAACUCAACGUCAGCCCAACGUCAACUCAACGUCAGCCCAACGUCAACUCAAUGUCAGCCCAACAUCACCCCAAUGUCAUCCCAAUGUCAACUCAACAUCUACCCAAUGUUAUCCCAACAUCAACUCAACGUCAGCCCAACGUCAACUCAAUGUCAGCCCAACGUCAACCCAAAGUCAACUCAACAUCAGCCCAAUGUCAACCCAUUGUCAUCCCAACAUCAACUCAACAUCUACCCAAUGUUAUCCCAACAUCAACUCAGUGUCAGUCCAACAUCAACUCAAUGUCUACCCAAUGUUAUCCCAACAUCAACUCAACGUCAGCCCAACGUCAACCCAAUGUUAUCCCAACAUCAACUCAACGUCAGCCCAACGUCAACUCAACAUCAGCCCAACAUCAACCCAACGUCAACUCAACGUCUACCCAAUGUUAUCCCAACGUCAACUCAACGUCAGCCCAACGUCAACUCAAUGUCAGCCCAAUGUCAACCCAAUGUCAUCCCAACGUCAACUCAACAUCUACCCAAUGUUAUCCCAACAUCAUCCCAAUGUCAGCCCAAUGUCAACCCAACGUCAAUGUCAACCCAACGUCAACGUCAGCCCAACGUCAGCCCAAUGUCAACUCAACGUCAGCAUCAACUCAACGUCAGCCCAACAUCAUUCCAACAUCAACUGAACGUCAGGCCAACGUCAACUCAACGUCAACUCAACAUCAGCCCAACGUCUACCCAAUGUUAUCCCAACAUCAACAUCAGCCCAACGUCAACCCAACGUCAACUCAACAUCAGCCCAACAUCAACCCAACGUCAACUCAACGUCAUCCCAACGUCAAUGUCAACCCAACAUCAACAUCAGUCCAACGUCAGCCCAAUAUCAACUCAACGUCAGCCCAACGUCAUUCCAACAUCAACUCAACGUCAGGCGAACGUCAACUCAACAUCAGCCCAACAUCAACCCAACGUCAACUCAACGUCAGCCCGAUGUCAACCCAAUGUCAUCCCAAUGUCAACUCAACAUCUACCCAAUGUUAUCCCAACAUCAUCCCAACGUCAGCCCAAUGUCAACCCAAUGUCAACCCAAUGUCAUCCCAACGUCAAUAUCAACCCAACGUCAACAUCAGCCCAAUGUCAACUCAACGUCAGCCCAACAUCAACCCAAUGUCAACUCAAUGUCAGCCCAACGUCAACUCAAUGUCAUCCCAACGUCAACUCAACAUCUACCCAAUGUUAUCCCAACAUCAACUCAACGUCAGCCCAACAUCAACCCAACGUCAACUCAACGUCAGGCAAACGUCAACACAACAUCAACCCAACGUCAACUCAACGUCUACCCAAUGUUAUCCCAACAUCAACUCAACGUCAGCCCAACAUCAACCCAACGUCAACCCAAUGUUAUCCCAACAUCAACUCAACAUCAUCCUAACGAACCACCGUCCAUCCCUUUUUUUGACUUUUUUGGGGGGUGAAACAUGCAGAAGGGAGGAGGGAAUUGAUGCCCAAGCCCCGACCACCCUCCCUACAGCGAAGCUUAGGAGUGGAGAAUUAUUUCCUAAAUCCCCUUAG